AAUUGAACACUGCUCUGCUAGGUGAAGUAUAUAAUUUUUGUUGAAAAUUCAGACGAUUUAUCUAGGUGAGAGCAGCAAUGGACCUCGAUAACACUGUUUUAAUGAGGCGAACCAAUUCGAUCUGAAUCGGGGAGAUUUUCAAGGAAAAUAAGUUUCUUGCUACAGGAGAUACAUUCAAGAGUAUAUCCUUCAGCUACAGGAUGGGAAGAAGCACAGAUGCAUCCAUUGUUCAUCAAACGAGCAUAGCAGUAAUUGAAGUACUUUUGAACAAAGUUAUGCCAGAAAUUGACCGACCAGCAAAGGAUUUGCUGAUUUACGGAUUGAGUAAAGUUAGGAGGAUAUCUGAAAAUGUGUUCGACACUUUGUUGCAAAAAUUUCGAAUGUUCUUUAGGCCUUCCCAGGGAAAUCCUGAUAACAUAACGAGAAUUAUCCUUCUAUUUAUACUAACAGCAAUGUAAUUUAUUAUUUCAUUUCGAAAAUACUUGAUUUUUUGUACUCAAUUCUCACUCAUAUAUAUAUUUCACGUACUCCGUUUUAAGAUUAUACCUACAAUAAAUUUAGAUAUUUAUGGUCUUA